CUAAGAAUCUUCCACAAUGGACGAAAGUCUGAUGGAGCGACGCCGCGUGAACGAUGAAGGCCGUAAGAUUGUAAACCUCUUUUGUCGGGGAGUAACGUGCGGGACGCGUCCCGUAUUGAGAGUACCCGAAGAAAAAGCAUCGGCUAACUCCGUGCCAGCAGCCGCGGUAAUACGGAGGAUGCGAGCGUUAUCCGGAUUUAUUGGGUUUAAAGGGUGCGCAGGCGGCGCGCCAAGUCAGCGGUCAAAGUUCCGGGCUCAACCCGGUGUCGCCGUUGAAACUGGCGUGCUCGAGUGCGUGCGAGGAAGGCGGAAUGCGUUGUGUAGCGGUGAAAUGCAUAGAUAUGACGCAGAACUCCGAUUGCGAAGGCAGCUUUCCAGCGCGCUACUGACGCUGAGGCACGAAAGCGUGGGGAUCGAACAGGAUUAGAUACCCUGGUAGU
rnacentral:rRNA from 1 species